AUGCACUUAUUACAUACAUGCAUACACACACCCAUAUCAAACACACACAAACAGAAAAAUAUGGAGUAGGCUGGAAAAUAGACAAUUAUUUCAAAGUUUCUUAACAAACAAGUUAAAAAAAUGAAAUUGAGUUACAUGCUAUAAUUCAACUUACAAUGAAGAGCUAUCUGCAGCCUUGUUCUUUUUAAUGCACUGACCCAGUGAUGAAGCCAGUUUUUAACAGCUUAGCAUGAAACAAAUAGAGCAAGCAAUGCUCAAGCUAAAAUUAUCACAACUAAUAUUUUAAAUAUUACCUAAACAAUAGAAGAAUGGCCUAAGAAUGCAAAGGGAAAGAAGCAUUUAAGCUUAACCAAGUUAUCUAACACUAGCUGAAGCAUCAUUUAAAAGUUGCUGAAGUAACUAUGCUGUUCAAAGCACACCCGACGACAAUGGAGCUCUAUGUCAAAAUGAUGCUCUUCUGACACAAAUUAGACAACUACUUCUUUGUUUGCAGAGAAUGCAUCUACAAAAAUAAACAUUAAAAAGCUGAAGCGUU